rnacentral:rRNA from 1 species
UACAGAGGGUGCGAGCGUUAAUCGGAGUUACUGGGCGUAAAGGGCGCGUAGGUGGCCCGGCAAGCGUGCGGUGAAAGUCGGGGGCUCAACCCCCGAUCGGCCGUGCGAACUGCGGGGCUGGAGCACUGUAGAGGCAGGCGGAAUUCCGGGUGUAGCGGUGGAAUGCGUAGAGAUCCGGAAGAACACCGGUGGCGAAGGCGGCCUGCUGGGCAGUUUUGCUGACACUGAGGCGCGACAGCGUGGGGAGCAAACAGG